UAACUGUUUCUAAACAGGUUUGCACUACUGAAUACAAAAUAUCUUCUUCAUAUAUUACUUUUUGGCAUUUUCUGCAGAGAAAAAAUGAAAGAUUGACGAUCCUUUUUCUUUGAACAAAAAUCCUAGCAACAGUUGAUCUCUCUCCUUUAACAUUUUACUCCAAAGGAUGUUCCCAAAGCUUCUUCUGAAGGUACCGUAAGCUGCUUUUUGGAGGUAAUAUGAGGAUUUUGGGCUAACUAAAUUUUAAGGAUACAGGAAUUGCAACGAGAACGAGGAGCCAGCGUGAAAUAAAGGGAACUUGUACGCUGCACCAGAUUAACCAUGUUGUGUCUGAAAAUAGCGAUACUAACAGCACUAAUCAUCAUGUCUUUUACUAAUAUUUUUGAAUAAAAUAGUUCUUGUUGAAACUACCCUCAUUAAAGGUUGCAAACAUGCCUACUGGUUUGUCCGAAGGUCUUCCAAGUUGUUUUUGAAGGUAUGAUUGAGGGUAUGUGGCUAAAUAAAUGGAAAGAGCAGAGCAAUUGCGAAGAGAACAAGGAGAAAGAGGAUUAUAGCGGCUACAGCUUUUGCGACUCCAAUUAAUGACAACUGAGGUACUGUACCACCAGUAGCGAACGAGAGUAGGGAGGUUUGAGAGCGGGAGGACAGUGUUUUGAAGCACCCUAAAAGGAGAGAACAAGUGGGAGAGAGGCCAAUGGAUGAUUAUGGUAGCGGCAGAAAAAAAAGUCAAGAUUAAUGCUGACUAAUCAGCAGCUAUUCCUCUUUCUGAAAGGUAAGUAAUCUAGGAGAUAAACUAAAGCUUUCUUUAUCCCCAUCAAAAUCGUGCAUCAACCAGUGGUCUUGGAGUUCCCUUUGAUGAUAAAAAUUUGGUGAAGGAAAUCAGUUUAGCAACCGUUUUGCCACUGAAAAGAAACUUCAACAAUGAUCAGAUAAAAUUAGUUCGUAUAUCCCAUCCUUUUCCCCCCAUGGCGCUGUCUAUAGUAUGGUUCAAGGUGAGGUAUGUCUUUUACAUUUACGGUGCUCAUAGUCAAAUCUCAUGUUUUAGCUCUCUUAUAGUGCAUGUUUGGUUAAACUAAAUAACGUUUUUGGAAGUGAAAGCUCGAUAUUAUUCGGUUUUGGAAUUUAUAUGAAGUGAUAAAGUAUCGAGUUUUCCAUGUCAAUUGUGAUUUAUCUGGUGAUGACACUUUUUGCAACACUAGAUGGAUUCACAUUAGGGUGCAAAAUCAAAUAGCAUUUGUAUUCAA